rnacentral:rRNA from 1 species
AUUGAACGCUGGCGGCAUGCCUAACACAUGCAAGUCGAACGGAGGUAGGGGCAACUCUACUUCAGUGGCGGACGGGUGAGGAAUGCGUCGGAAUCUACCCUAUGGUGGGGGAUAACACAGGGAAACUUGUGCUAAUACCGCAUAAUGUCGAGAGACCAAAGCAGGGGACCGCAAGGCCUUGCGCGAUAGGAUGAGCCGACGCCGAUUAGCUAGUUGGUAGGGUAAAGGCCUACCAAGGCGACGAUCGGUAGCUGGUCUGAGAGGAUGAUCAGCCACACUGGGACUGAGACACGGCCCAGACUCCUACGGGAGGCAGCAGUGGGGAAUAUUGGACAAUGGGGGCAACCCUGAUCCAGCAAUACCGCGUGUGUGAAGAAGGCCUGCGGGUUGUAAAGCACUUUCAGUGGGAGGAAGAGCUUAUGUUAAUAGCAAUGAGUUGAGACGUUACCCACAGAAGAAGCAACCGGCUAACUCUGUGCCAGCAGCC